GGCAGCCUAUGCCCGACCAGUGGGAUGUGGAUGACAAGCACGGCAGGCAUGUUUGCUGCCCUCCAGGAAAGCCCUUCUUUGUUGCACUGAAACGUCCUUGAAGCAAAGCUAAGAAGAGUAGGGCCAGGUUGGUCUGUGAGCUCCUGAGGAAGACCUCUGCCACAGAUGAUGUCUGCACCUGUGGUCCGGGGAGGAACACUUUCUCUGCCACCACUCUGAAUGAUGAUACUGCUAUUUUUGUCUGUACAGUUUUUGAGAUAGCAUCAUCAAAACUGAACACAGUGCUCAAGUGAGAUCAUGUCAUUGGCUUUUUCAACAGUGCUUUGAUAUGGGCAUCUAAAUGCCCAUCUUACUUUGAUUCCUUUGUGCUGUCUCAUGCUGGUGCACAGUGUUUUUUCCAAUAGCUUGCAAUUAGUAUAGACCCUAUCAGUAGAUCUUGACUGUUUUCAAGAAAUGCUGGGGUAAAAAAAAUAAAAGAAAAUGUAUUCAAGCA
rnacentral:lncRNA from 1 species